CCUACGGGUGGCAGCAGUGAGGAAUAUUGGUCAAUGGUCGGGAGACUGAACCAGCCAAGCCGCGUGAGGGAUGAAGGUACAGAGUAUCGUAAACCUCUUUUGUCAGGGAACAAAGGCGGGGACGUGUCCCCGGAUGAGUGUACCUGACGAAAAAGCAUCGGCUAACUCCGUGCCAGCAGCGGCGGGAAUACGGAGGAUGCGAGCGUUUUCCGGUUUUAUUGGGUUUAAAGGGUGCGCAGGGGGUCUGUUCAGUCAGCGGUCAAAGCCCGGGGCCCAACACCGGCCCGCCAGUUGAAACUGGCAGUCUCGAGUUGGGGAGAGGUAGGCGGAAUGCGCGGUGUAGCGGUGAAAUGCAUAGAUAUCGCGAAGAACUCCGAUUGCGAAGGCAGCAUGCCGGAUCCACACUGACGCUGAGGCACGAAAGCGUGGGUAUCGAACAGGAGUAGAUACCCGAGUAGUC
rnacentral:rRNA from 1 species